rnacentral:snoRNA from 1 species
GUAAGGAUGAUAUUUUUUAACCCAGAUGAUUCUUCGAUGAAGAUCAAAAAUGCAACAAACACUCUAAUUUUUUACUGAUC